rnacentral:lncRNA from 1 species
CGGCAGCCCCAGGUCCCGGGUCCCUCAGACAAAAGGGCGGGUGGAGGAGGAGUAGCCGAGCCCAGAGUCCUGCUCCGGCGCCGCCGAGCACCGCCCGCCUCAGCCGACCAGCCCCGUCGGCUACUGGGCCUAGCCGAGACCAGAGGAAGGAAAUGCCCCGGAGGCCACGACGAGGCGGCGGGGGCGCAGGCGGCCGGCUGCCGCCUAGUUGUGCUGCCCGGACCAAGGAAAGAGAAGUGGGAGGAGCGGGGAGCUCGGCGACCCUCCCGCCGUGGCGGUCGCAGCGCCGGCAGCUCGGGCCUCAGCCCCUGACGCUGUGGUGACUCCGCCGCGCCUCGCCGUCGCCCCUGUCCCCGUCCCGCCCGCCGCCCCGGCCACCCCCGCCACCCCCGCCGCCGGGGACAUGUCCAACCCCGGAAGCCGGAGAAACGGGCCAAACUGCGCUUGACAAGACUUCCUGAUCCAUUUGCUAAGGUGGUGGUUGAUGGAUCUGGGCAAUGCCAUUCUAUAGAUACUGUGAAGAAUAUGCUCGAUCCAAAGUGGAAUCAACAUUAUGACCUGUAUAUUGAAAAGUCUGAUUCAGUUACAAUCAGUGUAUGGAAUCACAAGAAGAUCCAUAAGAAACAAGGUGCUGGAUUUCUCCGUUGUGUUCAUCUUCUUUCCAGUGCCAUCAACCACCUCAAAGACACUGGUUAUCAGAGGUUGGAUUUAUGCAAACCUGGGCCAAAGGACAGUUAGAAGACGUAAGUCUUCAGUCCAGAGACCAAAUUGGCACAGGAGGACAAGUUGUGGACUGCAGUCAUUUAUUUGAUAAUGAUUUACCAGACAAGUAAGCCUCAUCUAGUUGAAUCUGAAGAUGUGGACCUGCUGAUGAAGAGGGCUGAUUGUAUCUAACUUAGGGUCUUGCAUGCAGCUGGCACUUAAUGCAUUUUAUUGACUGUUUUAGCUAACAUUCAAUGGACA